ensembl:lncRNA
GACUCUUCAGGUUGGCAAUUUCUACUGAGCUCCACUGGGAAGCUCUUUGGAUCUCACUCGGACUCUCUGCGGCUGCUGGAUUAGCUGGAGGCUAGAUGGUCUAUGAUGCCUUUAGCUGGGACAGCAACAAUCUGCUCUACCCCUUGAGAACUCAGGGAAGGUCUAGGAGGCUGAAGCCUAUACGCAGGAAACCUGGGGACAUGGAAAAGCUUUUGUAUCCAGGAGGGCCCCACAGGGUCCUGCUCAGUUUCACCAUCUUUUAACAAUGGUCUUUCCUGGACAGGCACCUCGAUUUCCUACUUCAACAGUGCUUGGAGGGAACCUACCUCCUCAAAUCCACUCCAGCACCGUGCAGCCCCAGGUCUCAACUCAUCGUGAGGAUAGUGGCCAUCUCACUGGUGCGCCAGAACUACCACAGGGACUCGGAGACUGCCAUCAACCACCAGCCGGGAGCUCUUCACCUUCUAUGGCUACCUGUCCAUGUCAUAUGGCUUUGACCUUUAUGAUGCGGCUUUGGAGAACUUUGCCAAAUAUGUUCCUCUCCAAUUUCAUGAUGCGAGGGCACUUACUGAGAAGCUGGAGAAGCUUGAUAUCCUUCAGGAUAUCAAGAAAGCCAGUCACGAAGAGUGGGUUAACUGCAAUGGAAUGUGCCAUACUCUUCGGAAAAGUUAUAGAUCCAUCUCCACUGGAAUGGGCACAAAAUGCCCACUGACAAUAAUGAC